rnacentral:lncRNA from 1 species
GGAGACACUCUGGUGUUACCCUUGACAUGCUUGUGAGGAGGAAACAAGCUUGCAGGCAGCAGUGCACUUCAUCAGCAGCACCCAGGUCUGCAACAGCAGCAGCAGGUCCCUCAUCAGCAGUCCGUCGCACCACCAAUCGGAAGAAUUCAGCACCACCUGCACCUCCAGCCUCCUCAGCUCCAGCCUCCUCAGAUUCAGACUCCUCAGAUUCAGACUCUUCAGAUUCGGACUCCUCCUCUACCGGUGGUGGUCUCUCAGCUCAGGCAUCGGCCAAUACCGAUGAGAACGUC